rnacentral:rRNA from 1 species
ACGCUGGCGGCGUGCUUAACACAUGCAAGUCGAACGAUGAAGCCUAGCUUGCUAGGUGGAUUAGUGGCGAACGGGUGAGUAAUACGUGAGUAACCUACCUUUAACUCUGGGAUAAGCCUGGGAAACUGGGUCUAAUACCGGAUACGACCAAUCUCCGCAUGGGGUGUUGGUGGAAAGCGUUAUGUAGUGGUUAUAGAUGGGCUCACGGCCUAUCAGCUUGUUGGUGAGGUAACGGCUCACCAAGGCGACGACGGGUAGCCGGCCUGAGAGGGUGACCGGCCACACUGGGACUGAGACACGGCCCAGACUCCUACGGGAGGCAGCAGUGGGGAAUAUUGCACAAUGGGCGCAAGCCUGAUGCAGCGACGCCGCGUGAGGGAUGACGGCCUUCGGGUUGUAAAUCUCUGUUAGCAGGGAAGAAGAGAAAUUGACGGUACCUGCAGAGAAAGCGCCGGCUAACUACGUGCCAGCAGCCGCGGUAAUACGUAGGGCGCGAGCGUUGUCCGGAAUUAUUGGGCGUAAAGAGCUUGUAGGCGGUUUGUCGCGUCUGCUGUGAAAGGCCGGGGCUUAACCCCGUGUAUUGCAGUGGGUACGGGCAGACUAGAGUGCAGUAGGGGAGACUGGAAUUCCUGGUGUAGCGGUGGAAUGCGCAGAUAUCAGGAGGAACACCGAUGGCGAAGGCAGGUCUCUGGGCUGUAACUGACGCUGAGAAGCGAAAGCAUGGGGAGCGAACAGGAUUAGAUACCCUGGUAGUCCAUGCCGUAAACGUUGGGCACUAGGUGUGGGGGACAUUCCACGUUUUCCGCGCCGUAGCUAACGCAUUAAGUGCCCCGCCUGGGGAGUACGGCCGCAAGGCUAAAACUCAAAGAAAUUGACGGGGGCCCGCACAAGCGGCGGAGCAUGCGGAUUAA